UAAUUUCCUGCACGGGCUCAGGGCUGACUUCAAUGCUUUCUCCGAAAAACACAGGGUGCAUUCGAGGCCUCAUCUCCGGCGUGGUCGGGUUCAGGAGCAGAUGCCUUCCAGCUCACAGGACUGAUGCAGCGCAGCGGGCUGCCCUCCGGUCCCACCAAGACCAACCUCGCUCUGCCCAGCUCACUGCCCAGGUAAGUGACUCUGCCCAGACCUCUGGCAUUCCCUGCUGCAGUAUCUGCUCUUUGAAAUUUAGCCCUUCCUUUCCUUCCUCGUUUCUCGUUUCUCAUAGGAACGGCAAUUCUUAACGUGUCUUCUUUAACCCUGAUGUUGUUGCCUUCUCUGUUAUGAAUUAUCACAGCCUCUCAUGAGCUAGGUUUUUAGCCAGGACUUCGCAGGCAAAACAGGCAAGAUUAGCUGCUUUCUAGACCAGGUUGUAGAUGUAAGCUUCAGGUUUACCAAAAAGCAAAACAAAACAAAAUACUGCUUGUCUGCCUGUGAGCUCUUACAAAGACUCCAAGCAUGAAGAAGGGCUCUAAGUCUGAUGUAACACAGAGAUAGGGCCCAAGUCUGCUGACUUAAAGGAUGUGGUUCUACUUAAGUGAGUAGUGCUUCUAUAUGUUUUAUACAGACACAUAAAUAUGUAUGUGUGCUGAGAAUAAUGUAUCCCUUGGAACGAUCAAGCAGGGAAUGUGGUAGAUGAGCUGUUGCUGAAGUCUUCAUGCCAGGAGCAGCUGGCUUGUUCCAAGGGAUGUUCUCGUUAACCAUGCACAAGUGAGCGCGGGGUGAGACACUGGGGCACCCCAUGGCUGCUGCGAUGCAGGGAGCCAGUUUCAAGCCAGGACUUCUUAAUGAAUGGAGCUGCUCCAAAUCAUGCCACUGAAAGUGGGUUCUUAAGAUUAAUUUCAUCCCGCAGUUAAUUAGUCUGACAAAUUGUCACAGUCCAGCCUAGGCUCCCCUGCCCACCACAAAAAUGAAUAAUCCUACUUCUCUAUAGUGGAGCGCUCUUAAACAUGAGUUCCCACAUACAGGGGUCCUGUGUCUGGUGUCUGGACCCAGCCCAGCAGCUAAUUAAGCCUAAUCCUGGAAAAAUGUCAUUGUGGGUUUUGGUCCCUGCCACCGCUUUUCUGUCAGCAGUGAUUUAUGGCACACAGGGACAUAGGGUCUCUUUAAAGGAGAUGGCUGGCAGCCACUGGGCAGGGUUGAGAGGUCUCUAGGUGGCUGAAAAGCUCAUGGAGUUUUUCCACCUUCCACCACACGUCAGCCAUACGUGUGCUAGAAUCACACAGAUUUUUCAUCGGUCUCCUGGUCAGUCAGAUCGUCUCAGGACUCACGGUGUCCACUGAAGGUAGCUGAGGAUACAGAGAAAUGGGCUUGCUCUUCCCGUGCCAUUUCCCUCCACCUUCCCCAGCACCUUCUGGUUGGGAGGAACAGGGGGCAAUCCUGGAGCCGUGGCCCUGUUCCUACCGCUGGUGCUGGGUGAGGUGCCUCGCCUUGUGCCCUGCCCCGUACACCACGCAGACCCCCACGAUGCUCACCAGGUCACCCCUCGGCUGCUGCUAACUGGCCAGCCUCUGGAGUCCACUCGACAGCGUCAGCUCACACUAGCUGAGGUCUGGUUUUCUCUGGUGGCUUGGGCACGCUGCCUUAGGCUAAGGCAAAAAAAUGUCAUUGCUUCAUCUGAAUUCUCCAAGCUCUUCAAUUCUGUGUCCCAAAGCCACAAAGCUGUUUACUCUUUCCAUACUGAAACAUCCCUGCACUUUACUACUGUGUUAAAUUGUAAGGUAAAAUGGCCAGCCACUCUUUUUGACUGUUUCUAAUCCGCUGCCAAAAAAGGACAAUAUUUGUACAAGGGAUGAGGGGAAAAAAGGGGGAAAUUUGUAAGGGGGGAGGAAAAUGUGUUCACUCUCCCUAGCAAACACUGGCUAAAAGGCAAAGUUCAUUCCUGGAUUGCUUUCAACACUCUUUACAGGGAAGGGCAAGGGCAGCCUUUCUGGUUGUAAAUAAAGCCCUUUCCUUCUGAAAUGUGAAUUGUUUAGAUCCGACAAGCCUUACUUCACAAGGGUGCAGAUCUCUUGCUUUUAACAGCCUGCAAACAUCCUGUGCUCUUUCUAAAGACAUCUUGUGCGUGAGAAGAGGUUCAUUUGGGUGCUGGAAUCAAACUCGUGUGUGCUCGUGUUCGUGGGCUCUGCUAAAGGCAGGCAAACUGCUCUCUUGGGGGGUCAGCUGCAAAGAGACGCAGAUUGUCUCAAGUGGUGAAGGCAGAAGGGCUGGGGACAUGUGACCCUCCUGCAGGAGAUUUUCUUUCCUAUGUAAAAGAGCCUGUGCUACAGCUGAAGUUUCUUCCAUGAAGCUGUUCUGGUGUCAGACAAACACACGUGUCUGUUUCUAUUUGCGCCUUUUCCAUAGGGAAAGUUGUGAACAGUUGUGAGUUAAGCUGCUUUUAAGAUCCAGACUGGCUUGCUAGAACACCAAAUAACAAAGCUGGAAGGGUGGUAACCACGAGCAUCCUUGCUGGAUUAACACAACAGAAAUCCAGAUCUCGUAAGAGCUCCGCAAAGGGUGUCUGUAAAGUGCUGUUUUAAAGAAACAAUUUUAAAGAAGCAACUUCAGUGCUCCCAGGCAAACAAACCAACAAACCUUCCCACUUCUUGCUAACAUAUGCUGACAGUAAGCAUGCUCUGAACACCCCUGGAGACAAGGAUGCAGGAGGCAAGGUCCUUUCUGUGGCUUCACAGGAAUGCUCGCGGGCAUCUGGCCCCCUGCAUUUGUAAAGGAACGGGCUCUGCAGCCUGCUGCGUGCCGGGGCUGCUGCUCCGUCACAACGUGGGGACAGAGGCAAACGUUGUCUGCUGAAAUCACAAGCCCCACAGCAGGGAACAGGAAACCAGAACAUGCUGCAGAAACAGUACCAGCAUGCAGGGAGGCACGGAGGAUCUCUCAUGUAUGACUGAAAUCAGUCAGUGAAAAAGUUGCCACUGCAUUUGGUGAGAGCAGGAUUCGCUUCCCUCCAGGUUAGUUCUGGCCGGAGAGGUGAUGAGACUACUUCCACUGUGAGUUACAGUUAACCUUGAUCUGGGCAGGGAAGGGUGAAAAAAAGGCGAUAACACAUUUCAUACAUCCAUGCUGUAAACUAGCAUCAACUUCAGACCUGCAGACUAAGCCUGUUAAUUCAGAAAGCUGGGACAAUUGUGGACAUGGGUAAGCCGAAGCCAGUGAGUGACUUGUGCCACCCAGCAGAGACCGUUACAGAUUCACACUCAUCUACCAUGAGCAGUACCAUCAGCAGCUGCAGGUGGGAAACCUCGGAAGUCACCUGGAAUUCUGCAGAUGGAAGAUGUAAAUACCUUACAAAGGAUAGUCUAAAAAUCAUCAGCAAGACCCUGCAGUCUGCUCCCCAAGCAACUGAACUGCUUGCACAGUGUGGAAGGGUCAGUAAACAGCGAGCGCAGAUUUUACAGAGCAGCAACUGUAAGGCACUUCAGAUGACUUUUCAUUUUGCCUCCAGUGAUGUCCUGAAAUACCUGCUUCUGAAUCUCACUUGGAGCUUGGAAGCAAGUAACAGGGCAUCCAAGCUUUCCAGAAGAUUUGUCUUUGGGGCUGAAAUGCCGAAUGCUUGACACACGCCAGAGGUUGGCUUUUUGGCAACAGUUUGACAGCAGCUCCUUCAAAUCUAUUUUAAGGUAGAAACAAAACAAAAAUGUUCAGCCUGUCAUAAAAAAAGAAAACAACAACAAAAACUGACUCAAUUCUUUUUCCUUCUGCACAGGAAUGGUUGAAAGAACAGAAGCACCGGACUGCUGACCUGCCAGAGAAAUGACCAUCCUUGGCUCAUCUCUAGCAAUCACUCAGCGAUCUCAAGACACUUCACAAUAAGGUGAGUUUCUUUGUAGCCCUGCACAAGCCCUUUAGAGCAGGCUGCCCACAGGUCAAGGUCUGUCUAUCCAAAGAAACCCUAGGAUUGCUGUGCUGGAAGGCUACGGCUGGGACCUAAUUAAUCUGUCCCCAGUAAUUAGAGCUGUGUUGCUACUUAGCAGAUGCUCAGCAGAAAACUGAGCAACUCCUACCAUCCUCCACAGCCCAGUAGAAACCAGCACAACCCUGCAGAAGCCACCACAACCCCGUAUCUUUAUCCAGGGAGAACAUGAGUCUGGUAGUCCAGGAAGCCUGAGGAGGCAGAAGUACAUGUUAUGCCCUUAAAACAGAGCCAAGGUGGACGAAAAUUAAGCGGUAAAUAUGUCAGCAUUUUUAUUUCCUUUCCAGUACCUAAUUUUGUCUGAACCAGCGAAGGGUUAAAGUAUUAUUAAAAAGUUGAAGUGAUUCUUGUUUGGCUGCAUUUUUCCCUCUGCCUUAACUCUGAUGCCUUUCAGGCAUGUAAAGGCCUGGGUAGCUAAGCUCUGCUUUUUUCAAGGAGUACCUAAAUAAAUACACACAAAAUCAGUUGCUGAACAGAAUUCAACCUACUGCUGAUCAAGAGUACUUCCUUUGUGCUGACGUUAGUAUUGCAGAGGACUUCUUGCUUUACGACUGAUGCACGUCCUUCAGUUCCAUGUCACUGUUUUGUACCUGCCAGGAGUGAUAUCUCAGCGACUGGUUCCUGGGGGUAUUCAGACCUCAGAGAACAACGGCAAAAAUAAUACGGUGGGCAGAAUAACCUUCUGUUACCCCUAAUAAUUAAUUAGAAUUAGUGGGCUCUGUUAAGAUGCUCUUCGCUUGGGGUAUUUUACAGGAAUGGAAGCAGAGUUAUGGUAAAUAACGUGCCAUGAAAUGGGCCUGCAGUCUACUGGCUGUUCUCAUAGCUUCCACAUUCCAGGCAGCAAAGCAAAAAGAAAGGAAGGAAAUUAAUGUGACUUGAAAAAAAUACCCCCCCCCCCCAAAAAAAAAAAAAAAAAAAAAAAAAACAGCUUUUCCCCAGAAAGCGAGACAGACCAGAACUGACUCCUUUAGGCAUGGUCGUUAUGUGGAAGGCACCAGGAUUUGGCAUUAGAUUCCUAGGGACUGUAAGGGGAAAUGGUUUUCCAAGCAUCAGGGAUACAAACAGGAUACAGCUUCCCAAAUUCCCAGCUCCUAACUUCGCUAGGGCAUAAGCAAAUCUCUCACCACAUUUUCCCACUAUGGUAACAUGUCAGGCCCAUGAAAAUGUCACUUUACUCAGCUGUUAUUUACAGCUGUAAUGAAAGAUCUGGCUGAGUUAUUUGACACACAUCUACAUUCUCUGCACUAGCUGAUAAGCAGUAUUUGUUUUACAGACCAUUUAUUUUCCCAAUAUCUUUAUGUAUUGCACAUUACAAGUAAUUUAUACUAAAGCCGGAUGAGAUUUUAUUUGGAAGUGAUAACAGUAAAUGCAGACCUCAAGUAUAAAGCAGGGCUUUAUUAUUUCAAAGAAUUAAUCCUUCCUGCCUCUUCUACUUCAAGUGGGAAAAGUAUUACUCCACUUAUGGUCCAGUGUUAGAGAUGCAACAGAAAUUAAACAGCUAGAAGACAUCACCCUAGCUAUAGGCACAUUUUUAGCAUAGGUGAUGAGAGUCCUAUGCCUUUUUCCCUGCUUGCUUUUAUCACGAACUGCCUGAAUCAAGAAUACAUGCCUGCCCCCCCCACAGCUGCUGCAGAGCGCACCAGCUUAGGUGUACUGACACUACCUUCUCGCUGCUAAUUGCACCGGUGAUGCAGACUGAUGCCUGCUGAGAGAUUUGCCCAUUUCCACUUCAUUUGAACAGCAUUUGGGGCAAAAGGCACCGUGCCAACAGAGGAAAUUGCCUUGCUCUCUGCACAAGCCUGGGGCUUUCCUCAGAGCUGCUGGGACCCACGAGGACUUGGGAAGACGUGUCACCUGCUGCGUGUGCGGGCUGCAAGCUGGCUCAGGUUGGGGGUGCUGGGCCUUUCUCUCCAGGUGCUUUCCCUGGAGGGGGUGGCAGGCCUGGAAGUUACGUGCUGCCUGGAAACGCUUCCAUGGCCACGCUCCUCACCCAGUCCCCAGAACACAGCCCCCCUUCCUGGAGCUCCUUCAGUGUAGAGCAAGAUGUGGGCUCUGCGCCCCAAAGGCUCUUCAAUAAGUGGCAUGUCAGGGAGAGGUGUUUGUUGUUGUUGUUGUUUUAUAUUGACAAAAAAUCCAACAGGCUUAGCACACACGCUGACCUGGACUCUAUUGAUGGGACCAUGCCCCUGAAAGCUACACCAAGAGGCAAGGUACACUCCUCCUCCACGGUACGAAAGAUGAAGCUGGAAUCUCUUCCCACCACAGAGGGCAUAUUCUGGCACCACACUGUUGUCAAACAGCUCCUGAACGUAAGUAGAAAUUCCCUAUAUGGGGGCAUUCAUCUGAACACUGAUCCACUGGGAUAGUCCCACAGAAGUCAGUGCACAGUGAGGCUGGUGUUGAAUUCAUAAAUAUUUAAACUUUCAAAUAAAAAUGAACUUGUUGCAGUGGCGGCAGCAUUGGGAAGGGACAAGAAGUAUGCUGCUUCGAGAAGGCACGAUGCAUAGUUCUGCAGAUGAACAUGGUCCUGAUCUCUUCUGGUAUCCGUUAGGAGUGAUGCUAUCAGAUGCCAAGCAUUUAUUUCAGUGCAGCACUAGAAAGAGCUCAAAAUCAGUCCUUCUAGCCUAAAACUAUAUCACAGGGCAACAACAAGAAGGAAAACUCUAAGCAGAUCUGGCUAUCUUGAUGCCAUUUCAUUCCCUACCCUUCCAGCAACUGCUUCUUUGUGUGUAUUAUUAGACAUUUAUUCCAUGGUACGUGUGUUCCCCUUGGCCCAGCAUUACAAGAAAAGCCUAGGGAAUUCAGUAACCCAAGCCGAAAGAUCAAUUUAAUCAUGUUUCAGAUUUAAAAGGCAGAAUUAGGUCAAAGUUACCUUCUGUUUUCAUUAGGAUAUUAGCACUUAAGCAGAAAACAACUGACAAAUUCCCUACGUAGACUUUACUUGAAGAAAUAAAAGCCAAUUCCUGCUGCACUGCAAGUAAAAUAAAAAUUAAAAAAAAAAAAGUCCCUAAAUGGUGUUGAACUUCUGGUAUUUAUGACUCUGGUCCUAAAUUGCCUUUCAUAUUUUCUUGGAUCCCAAAGCUGUAGCCAAAUUGGCUGGUUAAAUGUGAAUAAAUGGUGCAUUGUCUUUGAAACAAAGUCGUGCUUAUUAAAGAGAAAAGAGUUUACUUUUUCAGAAUCAGUUAAUGACACAAAGCAGGGAGAGCAUGGAUUUUACACACACAAAAGAAGUCUUCGAUAAGGGCAUGCAAUCUCAUUUUGGUCUGUAUGAGAAGAGCUAUCCUAGAGCAGAAGAAUUCUUCAACAUAUUUGUGAAGUUGGAGCAAAAUAGCUGACUGCAAAAGAACCCAACUGGGUUCAUACUGGGGGUUUUGAUAGGUCUGCAGCAAGGAAUGGUAGGAAAUCCUUCCCACAGAUCUGGAAUGUUGUUUUGUUCACCUGACAGCAAUUAAUUGUAACUGUACAUACUAGAAUUUUGGCCAUUAGUAACUGAGCUUCCAUAUGGUUCUAUAGUAUUAUAGCACAAAGAGUGGUGACUGCAUUCCUGGUUUUGUCACGUUUAUAAGCUAAACAAACACUAACAUAAUCAGCAAUUAAAAAAGCAUGUGUUGGUGUGCAAAUAGCUGCAAUUAUUGAUUUGCCAAUUCUGCAUGCUCUGAUGAACAGCAGAGUAGUGGAGUUAAACAGAAGCACAUUCAUGGAUUGCAUAAUUGCUCAUAGAUCUGCAAGUCCUUGUUAAAUGGUAAGGUUAAAGCUAAUUAGACACUGAAAUGUAGAAGUACAAAGCAAGCAAUGCUCUCUGUAUUUUUCCUGUUUUCUUAAUAGCAGCUGCACGUACAGUAUUUGCAGGCUGGAAGUGAGAAGUGAAAUUCUCUGUGCAGUCAAGUGGAGUGAAAACUCUUGCCUGGUUCUUUACUUUGCAAUAUACCAAACAGAGUUAGAGAGCACAGUCCUGCACCGUUCCAAAUAAUGCACUCAAAUUGGCUUCACUGUUAGUACCUAUGCGAUCUUCUGGACCUAAGGGCAUGGAAAUAUCCACAGUAUAUGAAACCCCUACCCUAACAGCUGGGGCCCAAGGCUACCCAUGCUGUUGCAACGUGAUAUAAAAAUCAAACAUCCACAGUUUUGAGUUCCUCUGUAAUGUUUAAAAUACUAAUUUGUGAUCAAAAUAAGAAAAGUAACUUGAAAAAUGUAGUUUUGCUUUGCACAGAUCACCGGAAUAACUUUUUUUCCUCUAGGAGCACUAAAACUCUCAAUCCAAGCAGUCCAAGACGUAGAUUUUUCUGUUCUUAUGAUCUUUCGUCUCCAAUAUCUACGGGCUUUCUUGAGAGGAGUCGUGGCUGACUGUCACGAUUACUGGAAUGGAGGCUGUUAUAUCCCCAUCAUGGAGCUUUGCAGACACCUCCACCCCAGCUGUUUUCUGGUCCAGCAAACCUUCAUUCAUCAUCCUCCCACAUUUUAUUUUACAAAUGCACAGCAACAGCCUGAUCCUGCCAAAUCAGAGGCAUGUGAGUAACUCUUUGAACAUAAGCCGUCCCAUCAAGACGGCGCACACGCCCAGGCAACAGCAGCGGGGGCUCCAGCAGACGUGGCUGCACGGGCAGGCCCGGAGGAAUGCGGGAUGCAGGCGCGCAGCCGGGAGCCGAUGCUGGAGGCAGCCUGCACGUACCGGGCAGCGCGGUGCCAGCACGCUGUGUGCUGCAGGAAGGCAGCGAAGACCUGGCUUUGCUCUCCGGUGCCUCUGCUGGGGUCCCCCCGCGGUGCCGCCACCCCGGAGCACAGCAGAACCCCCCGGCGGUGCCCCGCAGCCCCGGGGGAGCCGAGGGGGCCGCAGCCGAGGAGGGACCCCAGGCUCCGUCCUCGCUGGCCCCCCGCUCCGGGGCUCUCCCGGCCC